rnacentral:lncRNA from 1 species
AUGAUGAUGUGUUUCCCUGUCCUCGGGUCACUGACACGCACGUGGUUUCCAGCCUCAGCACUCACUCUGCAACGAGCUGCUCGCAUCCCACUGCAAUCCCUGGGCAUCAGGUUCUGCAGGCUCCUUCCUGGAGCACUCGGGAUCCCGGCGCUGGUGGCUCCAAUGGAGCCGGCGGCUGCAGCGAGCGCCUUGCCGAGGAGCAGCCAGCCACGAAGCCGUGCCAGGUGGGACCGGGCCUGCCAAAAUAAACCAGGUACUGCAGUCCUGAGCAUCCUCAGAGCUGAGCUCACGCCUUGCAGAAAUGCCUUUCGCCUGUGCUGUAGGGAACGGGGGAUUUUCUGGAGCUGCAGCCUCAGGAAGGGGCUCCGUGGGCACAUUUUCGGAGCCGGGCUGCUUUCUGUCUCCUCUGUGUCCUUCGCCAUGGGCAGCUUCUGCAGCGCUGGAGCGUGCUGGCCGGGUUGCUCUCAGACAAAGGAGGAAUUACAGAGCCUUAAUGCGUGUAGGCAUCAGCAGCUGCAGUGAGAUAAGAGAUGCUUAUGAAUAAAUAUAAACCUCCCCGAAACUCUGGGUGCA